AUCUCACGUGAGCGAGGCGGCAGCAGAUUUUAGAGCCAGGCGCUGCAGAAUUGCUCUCCACCGACUGCGUGAUGGGAAACUUCUGGCUGUCUUCGGAUCAAAGAGCUGAUAGGCUCUUAGAUUUUCUUGAGUAGAAGAGACUCUACGCAGAUGUUGCCAACGGUCGACUCUCCUUGUGGUUGCAAGGCGACCGUGGAGCUCGAGCUCGGCGUCCUCUCCUCUUCUGCACACGAGGUUCCUCCUCUUCCUCACCCAGCGUUUCUAUGACGUAGAGAUGCUCCUCAGCUGGGGGUCUCAGCAGAGGAGGAAGGGGAUCCAGAGGAGGAACGCACCAAGAAGCUAGGUGGGCGGAGCAUUUUAGCGAGGUGCUGAACAGGCCUCCACCAACAACACAGGCCAACAUCCAAGAUGCAGAAGCAGAUUUGGAUAUCAGCAUUGAACCACCAACCAAAGAUGAAAUUAUAAUGGCGAUUAAAUCCUUAAGAAACAGGAAAACCCCUGGUCCAGAUAACCUCAAUGCAGAGCUCUUCAAAGCAGACCCGAAUCUGGCAGCAACAAUUCUUCAACCACUUUUUACGUCUAUAUGGGAGAAUAAGAAAAUACCUGAUGACUGGUCAGAGGAGAUCAUCAAAUUACCAAAGAAAGGUUCUCUAAGAAAUUGUAACAACUGGCAUGGAAUUACACUUCUGUCAAUACCAAGUAAGAUCAUGGCAAAGAUUAUUAUUAAUCGAAUAACAGAUGCUGUAGACCAACAUCUCCGAAAAGAACAGGCAGGUUUCAGAAAGGGUAGAAGUUGCAACGAUCACAUAUUCACGUUACGUAACAUCAUAGAGCAGUGCACAGAGUGGCAGAGGUAACUGUAUAUAAACUUUGUUGACUUUGAAAAAGCAUUUGACUCCAUUCAUCGUGAAAGCCUUUGGCGUAUAUUGCGGCAUUAUGGGAUCCCUGAAGAUAUGGUUCAUGUGAUCCAGUUUUUAUACCAACUUCACAUGCAGGCUUGGAAACAGUCUCCAAAUAUUCCAAGUAAAAACAGGUGUGAGACAAGGAUGUGUGAUGUCAGCUUUGCUCUUCAAUAUUACUAUUGACUGGGUAAUGAGACAAACAACUGAAGACCAAAAUAAAGGCAUUCGAUGGACACUAUUUUCAUCACUUGAAGGACUAUGCAGAUGAUCUCUCUCUUCUUUCACAUACUCAUCGGCACAUGCAGGAAAAAACAUCCCGCCUCAGUGAUUUUGGUCAGAAGAUUGGCCUGAAGAUCAGCAAAAAGAAAACAGAAGUGAUGACUCUGAACAUUCCCAAUCCCUCACCAAUUCAGGUGAACGGAGAAGAUCUCCCUAAAACUGACGAGUUUACAUAUUUGGGCAGCACUGUCAAACACGAUGGGGGCACAGAUAAAGACAUCAAGAAUCGUCUUAAUAAGGCAAGGAACGCUUUCAAAGUACUGAAUAACAUAUGGAGGUCACAGCAGUACACCAUCAAGACCAAACUUAAAUUGUAUCAGAGCUGUGUUUUAUACACCCUAUUGUACGGUUCUGAAUGCUGGAGAAUGACACAAGAAGACCUCAACAGACUAUCAACCUUCCACACCAAGAGUUUAAGACGAAUACUGCACAUUUUCUGGCCAAACACCAUUUCAAAUGAAUGGAGACCAUCCUAAUGAGAAGAAGAUGGGGAUGGAUAGGACAUGUGUUGAGAAAAGAUCCUGCUGAUAUUACAAGAACAGCCUUACAUUGGACACCAGAAGGGAAAAGAAAAAGAGGCCGACCAAGAAACACAUGGAGAAGAACUGUGGAGAAGGAGAUGCAGAGCCUAAACCACUCAUGGGGCACCAUCCAGCGACUCGCCCAGGACAGACGGGAGUGGAAGACUUUUGUUGCUGCCCUACAUGCCAAGAGGCAUAAAGGGAAAUGAUGAAUGAAUGUGCCGAUCAUAAAGUUAAACUGAUUUAUUUCUUGUCUCACACAGAUACUACGGCUACACUUGGGGUUUAUAUGGCGCAGACAUAGCAGCAGCGUAUUAUAUCUUGAGUCUGAGGGGAGGAUUUAGCUGAGGUGGUUCGGGCAUCUAAUCAGGAUGCCUCCUGGAC